rnacentral:rRNA from 1 species
AUCUUGACCUCAGAUCAGGCAAGGCUACCCGCUGAAUUUA